AAGACCCAUGCAAUGAGUUUGUGAGGCCGAAUGGACGCCAGGUGGCUGCAAGAGAGUCUGGCACAAGGUGCACCUGGAGAAGGAAGUAGAGUCCAGGUCAGGGUGGAGGGAACUGGGAGGACCUGUCUGAUCACAAACAACCCACCAGAGGAGGCCCUGCUGCUCCUGGAGGAUGCUUCUGCCGGAGUUCUCCUAGUUCCUUGCAAGGAGCCCUGGAAAAACAAUCCCACCCUGGGUCUACCAUAGUCUCAGGGACUUUUAAACCAACGCUCAGCUAGAAAAAAACCUCAGGCAGUUUGCGGAUAGAAGAGGAAAUAACAUUAAGAGCCUGCCAUAUGUUGAAUGUUUACUAUGUCUCAGUAGAAUAUUAAUGCUUUAGGUUCUUACA